rnacentral:misc_RNA from 1 species
CGCGCCUUCGGCCAAUUCGACCAUGUGCGGCUGUAUGGCCGCGAUUACAAAGACAGGCUCGAAGAGGCCGGCUUCGUGGUGAACGUGGAUGGUUAUGUCCGAACUCUAAAGAAGGAUGAAAUCAAGAA